rnacentral:ncRNA from 1 species
GAAGUUUCCCCAGGAUAGCUGGAGUUCAUAGCGGUUAUAUCCGGCAAAGCGAAUGUGCGGGGUCGAAAUGAUCUCAACGUAGUCUCAAACUUUCAAUGGGUAUGUUGUCUCGGUUUCUUCAUUGAACUGUUGACAUGAACGCGAGCUCCAAGUGGGCCAUUUUUGGUGAGCAGAACUGGCGCUGUGGGAGGAACCAAACGUUGGGUUAAGAACCUGGAAUUGGGUGCACAUGACAGCCGGCACCUCCGACUGCGCUCCACUCGUCCAUUGUCCUUUAACCGGAGAGACACAAGUA